UAUGCACUACUCUUUUUAGUACGAAAGGACCAAAAGAGUAAAACCUAUGCUCUAAGCAAGUUUUCACCAUCCCAUGAAGCAAUAUCAAAUUAACAGUACCAAACCACCCAAGAACAGGAC
rnacentral:rRNA from 1 species